rnacentral:misc_RNA from 1 species
AACGCAUAUGGCACCCUUUGGUUCUCGCCAAGGGGUAUGCCUGUUUGAGAAUCAUUUCGGAUACACUUGUUGCAUUCUUGAUCAAUAGGGUGUACUCUCAAUUGAUCCAGGAAUGCAAUCCACAUGGGCCUUCAUCAUUGAUCGCCUUGAAUUCAUGCAUGGGACUGCUCGUGAUAGAAAAGUGUCGCAUGAUGUGGUGCUCAAUGCACUCGUCGUGUGAUGUGCAAGGAUGGUCGUGGUGUGCAGUUGCAUGUCAUGUGCUCGUCCUUGUUGAUCGAUCAGUCCCCUUGGAAGCAUCCACUUCCAUCCACCCUCUCUACAAUGAUCUCAAAUCAGGCAAGACUACCCGCUGAACUUAA